rnacentral:rRNA from 1 species
CCGAAGAUUUCCGAAUGAGGAAACUCACUUAGAGUAAUGUCUAAGUAUCAUUAAGUGAAUACAUAGCUUAAUGAGGGGAACUCAGGGAACUGAAACAUCUAAGUACCUGAAGGAAGAGAAAGAAAUUCGAUUCCGUAAGUAGCGGCGAGCGAACGCGGAUUAGCCCAAACCAAUAAAGUUUUCUUUAUUGGGGUUGCGGACAUAUCAUAACGAAGAGGUAUCGUAAUUGAAGAGGUUUGGAAAGACCCACCACAGAAGGUAAUAGUCCUGUAUGUUAAACGAGAAGACUUUAGAUAUGAUCCAGAGUACCACGGGACACGUGAAACCCUGUGGGAAGCAGGAGGGACCACCCUCCAAGGCUAAAUACUACCUAGUGACCGAUAGCGUAUAGUACCGUGAGGGAAAGGUGAAAAGAACC